CCUACGGUGGGCUGCAGUGGGGAAUAUUGCACAAUGGGCGCAAGCCUGAUGCAGCCAUGCCGCGUGUGUGAAGAAGGCCUUCGGGCUGUAAAGCACUUUCAGCGGGGAGGAAGGCGGUGAGGUUAAUAACCUCAUCGAUUGACGUUACCCGCAGAAGAAGCACCGGCUAACUCCGUGCCAGCAGCCGCGGUAAUACGGAGGGUGCAAGCGUUAAUCGGAAUUACUGGGCGUAAAGCGCACGCAGGCGGUCUGUCAAGUCGGAUGUGAAAUCCCCGGGCUCAACCUGGGAACUGCAUUCGAAACUGGCAGGCUAGAGUCUUGUAGAGGGGGGUAGAAUUCCAGGUGUAGCGGUGAAAUGCGUAGAGAUCUGGAGGAAUACCGGUGGCGAAGGCGGCCCCCUGGACAAAGACUGACGCUCAGGUGCGAAAGCGUGGGGAGCAAACAGGAUUAGAUACCCUUGUAGUC
rnacentral:rRNA from 1 species